AUGGUAAAGAAUCUGCCUGCAAGAGACCCAAGUUCAGUCUCUGGGUCGGGAAGAUUCUCUGGAGAAGGAAAUGGUUACUCACUUCAGUAUUCUUGCCUGGAGAAUUCCACGGACAGAGGAGCCUGGCGGGCUACCGUCCAAGGGGUCGCAAAGAGUCAGACAGACCUGACUCAGCAACUAGCACUUUCACUUUCACUUCAGGAAAGGAAUGGAGAUGUUUCCAUUUCCAAAAGAUCUUUAAAGGAGAGAGAGACAGAAAAAAGAAAAAAAAUAGGGAGAGAAUAUUGGUCCUGGAGUAACCUUUUCUGAAUAUUUUAGAUUCUAGAAGAAUGGCUGAAUUAGAAGAUCUGGGCCAAAUAAGGUGUGAGAGUACAAUCCUGAGUAUGCUUUCUGCCUCUCUUACUGCUGUCUCCUUCCCACUCUAGGGGGGCACUUUCUCCAUCUGUUUGUCUCUCACAUCCUUUAGACACUUACACUUGAGUUCUGUUUGUAGGGUGGAAUGGAGGAUUCAGCCACAGCACUUAUGUAGAGAAGUUGCUGUGAUACAGACUAUGAAUCCCCCAAAUUUCCAUUUGGAGAGCCUCUCCCCAGUGUUCCCUCAAGUGGAGGAGUUUGAGGACUAGUGGGAGCCACUGACUUCAAUAAAUGCAGUAGGGUUAGAAAGUCAUAGGACAGUUACUCGCUCUUAACUUGCCUGGUAGUAACCAUUAUAAAGAGAAACCUCCCUUCUAGGCCACAUUUCCGACCUUGCUUGAAAUCCAAGGUCAAAUUUUACUUCUGAUGUAUUGCUGCUAUUGUCUCAAAUCCAAUUUACAUAUGUUUCUGUUUUCACUGAUUGCUUUAUUCUUUUCCAAAUCAUCUCAUCCCAUCACAGGGUGAAGGAAAGAACAUUUAGAAAACAGAUGUUGUAUUAACCAUAACCAUUAUCCUUUAUUGGAUCCCAAAGAGGUUUAUCUCUAUCCAUAAACAGGUGAGGGAGAUACAAGCUUUCAGCUCAGCUCUACACUUUAAAUGCCUCACUGGGAAGAGGGCAAAGGCUCUGCCAUCCAUCUGUCAUCAUGACUCAGAAACAGUUUAUUUCUGAACUAUGUAAGGACUCAAGACAUACCUUUCCUGGCUGAGACUGAUAUUCCCUUGGGGAUUACAUGCAUGAUGGGAAGGGCUAUCACAAAACGACACUGGGAUGUGGACUGUAAAGGGAUGGCCGUAGUAGAUAACCCCCAUCUCAGAAGGAAAUACUUUCCAACACUUCCCAAUGAGAUCAGUGAUUGCUUUUAUGAGAGCUACUGCUCUUUGAGAUGUUUAGGUGAAGGGAGAAUAUCUUCUAUUAAACCAGUCGACGCCAAAGAACUACUCAAGGGGGAUGUGGCAGAAGCUAUUUUUAGCAGGUGAAUCUAUGUCUUUUUCUCUUUGUUUUUAUUUUCUCCACUUGCUGAGUAUGUUUUAGAGCAAAGCACAUACACACACACACACACACACACACACACACACACACACAAAGCAAUGAG
ensembl:lncRNA